UCUUAUGUACAUGCCUACAACAUAGCGUUAAUGCAUCAUAUCCCAUUAGAACUCUGUAGUUAAGUGUAAUCGGGAUAGAGUAGUAUUGGGAUGGGUGACUGCCUGGGAAGUCCUAGUAUUUUAUAUGCC
rfam:Picea glauca, whole genome shotgun sequence.